ensembl:rRNA 5S_rRNA 5S ribosomal RNA
GCCUACGGCCAUCCCACCCUGGUAACGCCCGAUCUCGUCUGAUCUCGGAGCUAAGCAGGGUCGGGCCUGGUUAGUACUUGGAUGGGAGACCUCCUGGGAAUACCGGGUGCUGUAGGCU